GGGGUAAACCUGAGAAACCCAAAAGAUCGAAUGGGGAGAUUCAUCGUCAGCUCAUUUUGUAUUUUUAUGAAUUAUGAUGUGGGUUACUACUUGUAGUAUUGCCUAUACAUANUUAUAAAAUUAGUUGCAAGAUGUUGUCGUCGUGCACUUCUCCCCUANUAGAACGUCNCGACCCGUUGUGUGUCGGUCUACGGCCUAAGUGGUANUCUUUAAUAUUUUAUUAUAUUAAAGUCCCUUGGUGUUUCCUGACCGGCUAC
rnacentral:rRNA from 1 species